AUCAAGGCUGAGGUGUGAUGACGAGGCACUACGGUGCUGAAGUAACAAAUGCCCUGCUUCCAGGAAAAGCCUCUAAGCAUCAGGUAACAUCAAAUCGUACCCCAAACCGACACAGGUGGUCAGGUAGAGAAUACCAAGGCGCUUGAGAGAACUCGGGUGAAGGAACUAGGCAAAAUGGUGCCGUAACUUCGGGAGAAGGCACGCUGGUGUGUAGGUGAAGUCCCUGCGGAUGGAGCUGAGACCAGUCGAAGAUACCAGCUGGCUGCAACUGUUUAUUAAAAACACAGCACUGUGCAAACACGAAAGUGGACGUAUACGGUGUGACGCCUGCCCGGUGCCGGAAGGUUAAUUGAUGGGGUUAUCCGUAAGGAGAAGCUCUUGAUCGAAGCCCCGGUAAACGGCGGCCGUAACUAUAACGGUCCUAAGGUAGCGAAAUUCCUUGUCGGGUAAGUUCCGACCUGCACGAAUGGCGUAAUGAUGGCCAGGCUGUCUCCACCCGAGACUCAGUGAAAUUGAACUCGCUGUGAAGAUGCAGUGUACCCGCGGCAAGACGGAAAGACCCCGUGAACCUUUACUAUAGCUUGACACUGAACAUUGAGCCUUGAUGUGUAGGAUAGGUGGGAGGCUUUGAAGCGUGGACGCCAGUCUGCGUGGAGCCAACCUUGAAAUACCACCCUUUAAUGUUUGAUGUUCUAACGUAGGCCCCUUAUCGGGGUUGCGGACAGUGUCUGGUGGGUAGUUUGACUGGGGCGGUCUCCUCCCAAAGCGUAACGGAGGAGCACGAAGGUUAGCUAAUCCUGGUCGGACAUCAGGAGGUUAGUGCAAUGGCAUAAGCUAGCUUGACUGCGAGCGUGACGGCGCGAGCAGGUGCGAAAGCAGGUCAUAGUGAUCCGGUGGUUCUGAAUGGAAGGGCCAUCGCUCAACGGAUAAAAGGUACUCCGGGGAUAACAGGCUGAUACCGCCCAAGAGUUCAUAUCGACGGCGGUGUUUGGCACCUCGAUGUCGGCUCAUCACAUCCUGGGGCUGAAGUAGGUCCCAAGGGUAUGGCUGUUCGCCAUUUAAAGUGGUACGCGAGCUGGGUUUAGAACGUCGUGAGACAGUUCGGUCCCUAUCUGCCGUGGGCGCUGGAGAAUUGAGGGGGGCUGCUCCUAGUACGAGAGGACCGGAGUGGACGCAUCACUGGUGUUCGGGUUGUCAUGCCAAUGGCACUGCCCGGUAGCUAAAUGCGGAAGAGAUAAGUGCUGAAAGCAUCUAAGCACGAAACUUGCCCCGAGAUGAGUUCUCCCUGAGACUAUAAGUCUCCUGAAGGAACGUUGAAGACGACGACGUUGAUAGGCCGGGUGUGUAAGCGCAGCGAUGCGUUGAGCUAACCGGUACUAAUGAACCGUGAGGCUUAACCUU
rnacentral:rRNA from 1 species